UAGGGAAUCUUCCGCAAUGGGCGAAAGCCUGACGGAGCAACGCCGCGUGAGUGAUGAAGGUCUUCGGAUCGUAAAACUCUGUUAUUAGGGAAGAACAAAUGUGUAAGUAACUAUGCACGUCUCGACGGUACCUAAUCAGAAAGCCACGGCUAACUACGUGCCAGCAGCCGCGGUAAUACGUAGGUGGCAAGCGUUAUCCGGAAUUAUUGGGCGUAAAGCGCGCGUAGGCGGUUUUUUAAGUCUGAUGUGAAAGCCCACGGCUCAACCGUGGAGGGUCAUUGGAAACUGGAAAACUUGGGUGCAGAAGAGGAAAGUGGAAUUCCAUGUGUAGCGGUGAAAUGCGCAGAGAUAUGGAGGAACACCAGUGGCGAAGGCGACUUUCUGGUCUGUAACUGACGCUGAUGUGCGAAAGCGUGGGGAUCAAACAGG
rnacentral:rRNA from 1 species